GGAAAUGUGGCUCAGUGGCAGAGCAUCUGCUCCUGGUAUGCAGAAGGUCCCAGGUUCAAUCCCUGGCACCUCCA